UAGAAUGAAGUUUGUUGAUUAGCUUAUCAUUUUGAAAUAUGUCCAUUGCAGGUUUUACUGGUUGUGGAGAGAGAGAUCAUUUUUCUAGAUUCUGUACUCCCUGGUGGUUUUGGAGAUGACUCGUACAAAACGAUAUUUAGGUUAAGAGAGAGGAAAAAGUUGCCCUUGUUCAGUGGCUUUUACCAAUAAUAUUUUACGCAAGAGCCAUGUUCUGUGGCUGCUGAUUUACACAAAAGCCUUGUUCUAUGGCUGAUGAUUUACAAAAAGCCUUGUUCUAUGGCUGAUGAUUUACAAAAAGCCUUGUUCUAUGGCUGAUGAUUUACAAAAAGCCUUGUUCUAUGGCUGAAAAUUAACAAAAAGCCUUGUUCUAUGGCUAAUGAUUUACAAAAAGCCUUGUUCUAUGGCUGAUGAUUUACAAAAAGCCUUGUUCUAUGGCUGCUUAUUUAUAGCUUUGUUCUUUUGUUUUAUGUUUACGCAGAAGCCUUGUUCGAUGGCUGUAGGAUUAGGUCUCAUUUUAUGAAACUAGACCAUGGAGAACAAUUGUAUGACUAUAGGUUUCAGUAAGUGUGUGUCCAUAAUUAAUUUUUUUUUCCAUUUUAUGUGCAGACAUAUUGCAGGCCAGAUUGACCCAAGACCCUGGACAGAGAAGACCGGCAGAAGUUUUGAUCACUUCCCUCAACAAACUUCUGGGAACUACUGUGGCAUCCUUAUACUCAUUUAUGCCCUCUGUAUCUGCACCAAUACCCCAUUUAUCUUCACAGAGAAUGAUGUGCCAUUAAUCCGCCAGUGGUGGUGCAUCCUACUGAUGGAAAGAUUUCAGAUUGAAGGACAUGGCCAGAGGUUUGCUUUCUGGACUGACAAGGCUAGCAGGCUAUUGCAAGGGACCCUUCAGCCACUUUUUAGGGUAUCUAGGUCAAUCACUUCAGACAUUCCACCUCAUGUGCAAACCAUGGUCAACCGCACAGCCCAAGAAAAGAAGCUGGUAGACUUUGCUGUACAAGACCAUGGAGUCCGGCAACAUUUGUUGGUAUGUUUGUCACACAUUAACAAUGUUUGU